rnacentral:rRNA from 1 species
UUAAAAUAUUAAGGGCACACGAAGGAUGCCUAGGAAGUAAGAGCCGAUGAAGGACGUGGUAAGCUGCGAUAAGCUUGGUGGAGUUGCAAUCGAACUGUGAUGCCAAGAUUUCCGAAUGGAGAAAUCUGCUAAGAUGGAGUCUUAGCACGAAAGAGGGAACCGGGUGAACUGAAACAUCUAAGUAACCCGAGGAAAAGAAAGUAAAAACGAUCCCCUAAGUAGCGGCGAGCGAACGGGGGUGAGCCCAAACCGUAGAUGUGCCAAGGAUGCAGCCGUUGCAUCUACGGGGUAGCGGGAAGAUCGUCUGAAGAACUGCAAGGUAUUCGACAUUAUGAUACGCCGAACUGGAAAGGUCUGGAAAGGCCUGCCGUAGAGAGUGAAAGCCUCGUACAGGUAAACCGUAUCAAAUGUAUGAUCUCUCCCAAGUAGCACGGAACACGAGGAAUUCUGUGUGAAUCUGCGAGGACCAUAUCUCGUAAGGCUAAAUACUCUUACUUACCGAUAGCGCAUAGUACCGUGAGGGAAAGGUGAAAAGAACCCCGGGAGGGGAGUGAAAUAGAACCUGAAACUAUGUGCUUACAAGCGGUCAGAGCCCGCAAGGGUGAUGGCGUGCCUUUUGGAGAAUGAUCCUGCGAGUUACGUUCAGUGGCAAGGUUAAGUUUAACGGAGCCGAAGGGAAACCGAGUCUGAACAGGGCGAUUUUAGUCGCUGGGCGUAGACGCGAAACCUGGUGAUCUAAGCCUGUCCAGGGUGAAGCUGUGGUAAGACACAGUGGAGGCCCGAACUCACCGCCGUUGAAAAGUUGGGAGAUGAGGUAGGUUUAGGGGUGAAAAGCCAAUCGAACCAGGAGAUAGCUCGUUCUCUCCGAAAUGCAUUUAGGUGCAGCCUUGAGUGUUCAAUUAUGGGGGUAGAGCACUGAAUGACCUAGGGGGCAUACUGCUUACCGAAGUCAAUCAAACUCCGAAUACCAUAAUUCUAGAGCUCAGGAGUGAGACUAUGGGAAUUAACUUCCAUGGUCAAAAGGGAAACAACCCAGACCACCAGCUAAGGUCCCUAAUUAUAACUAAGUGGGAAAGGAGGUGGAGAUUCACAAACAACCAGGAGGUUGGCUUAGAAGCAGCCAUACCUUUAAAGAGUGCGUAAUAGCUCACUGGUCGAGAGUCUCUGCGCCGACAAUGUAACGGGGCUAAGUUAUAAACCGAAGCUGUGGAGUUGCGUAAGCGACUGGUAGGAGAGCGUUCUGUAGGCCGUUGAAGGAGAAUCGACAAGAGACUCUGGAGGUAUCAGAAGUGAGAAUGCAGGAAUAAGUAGCGAGAAUGGGGGCGAGAAUCCCCCACGCCGGAAGACCAAGGGUUCCAGGGUAAAGUUUGUCUCCCCUGGGUAAGCCGGGUCCUAAGCCGAGGCUAGAUUGCGUAGGCGAAUGGAAAACAGAUUAAUAUUUCUGUGCCACUGAUAUCAAGUGAUGGAGGGACGCAGGAGGUUAUGCACGCUGGCGAACGGAAGUGCCAGUUCAAGCAUGUAGCGUGGUCUAGUAGGAAAAUCCGCUAGACUAAACGUGAGGUGUGAUGAGGAGUCGUAAGAUGGAAGGUGCAAAUACCACACUGCCGAGAAAAGCUUCUAAGCGUUAUAAAGAUAUUAGUGCCCGUACCCCAAACCGACACAGGUGGUCAGGAUGAGAAAUCUAAGGCGGACAGGCUAACUCUCGUUAAGGAACUCUGCAAAAUAGCCCCGUAACUUCGGGAGAAGGGGUGCCUUUUAUGGUGAGCGUACACGCGACGCAAAGCUAUGAGAGGCCGCAGUGAAGAGUCUCAGGCGACUGUUUAACAAAAACACAGGUCUAUGCUAAGCUGUAAGGCGACGUAUAUGGGCUGACACCUGCCCAGUGCCGGAAGGUUAAGAGGAGGAGUGAGAGCUCCGAAUUGAAGCCCCGGUGAACGGCGGCCGUAACUAUAACGGUCCUAAGGUAGCGAAAUUCCUUGUCGGGUAAG